GUCCCGGUGGCCGAGUGGUUAAGGCGACGCCCUGCUAUCAUCGUAGCUUAGGCGUUGGGUUCUGCCCGCGCAAGUUCGAAUCUUGUCCGUGACG
rnacentral:tRNA from 1 species